UUCGCCCUUUUCCGGUUGAUCCUGCCGGACCUGACUGCUAUCGGAUUGAUACUAAGCCAUGCGAGUCAUUGUAGCAAUACAAGGCAGACGUCUCAGUAACGCGUAGUCAACCUACCCUAUGGACGGGAAUAACCUCGGGAAACUGAGUAUAAUGCCCGAUAGAACACUAUACCUGGAAUGGUUUGUGUUUCAAAUGAUUUAUUGCCGUAGGAUGGGACUGCGGCCUAUCAGUUUGUUGGUGAGGUAAUGGCCCACCAAGACUAUUACAGGUACGGGCUCUGAGAGGAGUGGCCCGGAGAUGGGUACUGAGACACGGACCCAGGCCCUAUGGGGCGCAGCAGGCGAGAAAACUUUGCAAUGUGCGAAAGCACGACAAGGUUAAUCCGAGUGGUUUCUGCUAAAGGAACCUUUUGACAGUCCUAGAAACACUGUUGAAUAAGGGGUGGGCAAGUUCUGGUGUCAGCCGCCGCGGUAAAACCAGCACCUCAAGUGGUCAGGAUGAUUAUUGGGCCUAAAGCAUCCGUAGCCGGCUCAGUAAGUUUUCGGUUAAAUCUGUACGCUCAACGUACAGGCUGCCGGGAAUACUGCAGAGCUAGGGAGUGGGAGAGGUAGACGGUACUC
rnacentral:rRNA from 1 species